rnacentral:misc_RNA from 1 species
AAGUCGUAACAAGGUUUCCGUAGGUGAACCUGCGGAAGGAUCAUUAACACGUAUCCAAACGUUAAACCCCCCCCGUAAACCUUCAUCGUGCUCUAGUGGGCCACUGAUAAAGCCUUUGAGUCAGGAACCUCUGUGCAGUGCGAGCUGCACCCACUAUAGAAGCGCUAGUUCCAUCGGCAUUGUUUCCCCAAGCAGCCAGUGCGUGAAAGUGGCAACUGACUGUGCAAGGAUAACGCUUAACGAUUUUGCAGCCGCAACACGCGGGCAGAGCUUUGCCAAAGGGUCCCCAUGCCCCUUCCUUCUGCCGAUUUCACAUACAAAGCUCCAUUUUCAAUUAUGGAUGGGGUAAAACCGAACAACUGUUAACAAUGGAUAUCUUGGUUCUC